rnacentral:rRNA from 1 species
AGCAGCCGCGGUAAUUCCAGCUCCAAUAGCGUAUAUUAAAGUUGUUGCAGUUAAAAAGCUCGUAGUUGAAUUUCGGGGUCAGUAGGUUGGUCAUGCCUCCGGUAUGUACUGGUCUCACUGAUUCCUCCUUCCUGAUGAGCCGUAAUGCCAUUAAUUUGGUGUUGCGGGGAGACUGGACUGUUACUUUGAAAAAAUUAGAGUGUUUAAAGCAGGCUAACGCUUGAAUACAUUAGCAUGGAAUAAUGAAAUAGGACGUUCGAUCCUAUUUUGUUGGUUUCUAGGAUUGACGUAAUGAUUAAUAGGGAUAGUUGGGGGCAUUAGUAUUCAAUUGUCAGAGGUGGAAUUCUUGGAUUUAUUGAAGACUAACUACUGCGAAAGCAUUUGCCAGGGAUGUUUUCAUUAAUCAAGAACGAAAGUUAGGGGAUCGAAGACGAUCAGAUACCGUCGUAG